rnacentral:rRNA from 1 species
GCUUCCCUCUUUCUUCGUGCCUAAUACAUGCAAGUCGAGCGAACGGACGAGAAGCUUGCUUCUCUGAUGUUAGCGGCGGACGGGUGAGUAACACGUGGAUAACCUACCUAUAAGACUGGGAUAACUUCGGGAAACCGUAGCUAAUACCGGAUAAUAUUUUGAACCGCAUGGUUCAAAAGUGAAAGACGGUCUUGCUGUCACUUAUAGAUGGAUCCGCGCUGCAUUAGCUAGUUGGUAAGGUAACGGCUUACCAAGGCAACGAUGCAUAGCCGACCUGAGAGGGUGAUCGGCCACACUGGAACUGAGACACGGUCCAGACUCCUACGGGAGGCAGCAGUAGGGAAUCUUCCGCAAUGGGCGAAAGCCUGACGGAGCAACGCCGCGUGAGUGAUGAAGGUCUUCGGAUCGUAAAACUCUGUUAUUAGGGAAGAACAUAUGUGUAAGUAACUGUGCACAUCUUGACGGUACCUAAUCAGAAAGCCACGGCUAACUACGUG